UGCCAAUCUCUCAAUUGCUGCUGUGGGUUUGGUUUCGGCUUUAUAAUGUUCAUCACUUUCUCCAUUAUCUUCUUUUGGGCCUUUUUUCUCUCCUUUGCUUCUAAUGGGUAUAUGAUUGAUUGCUUAGAAUCAAAAUUGCGUCGAUUGAUCAAACUUCAAUCCUUUCGGGUUUUUGUCCGUGAACUCUAGGUCUGAGCAGUGAGCAUUGUCCAUUAUAACCCAAAAUUGAAAUCAGUUUAACUUUGAGGUUCGGUUAUCCAAUUUAAAUGAUUC
rnacentral:misc_RNA from 1 species